UCUGGUUACUGUAGAAGUCCUGCUGUUGGGUAAGCUCGGCUAUUGAUGAAGUCCGAAGGAAGUUUAGAGUAGAGCCAUCCGAGGCCGGAAGAAGUCUGGAAGGGAUUUCACGAACAGUCGAUCACAGUAGAAAAUCGAUCGAUAGCGGAGUUCAGAGGGCGUUUGGAGCAAUCCGGUGGAUAAAUGGAGAAGCUCAUGGUUGGAGAAGCCCAAAUGGCAUUAUGGAAGCUCGGACGGUUGAGGGAGUUCGAAAAGACACCAUACA
rnacentral:lncRNA from 1 species